rnacentral:rRNA from 1 species
UAGGGAAUCUUCGGCAAUGGGGGGAACCCUGACCGAGCAACGCCGCGUGAGUGAAGAAGGUUUUCGGAUCGUAAAGCUCUGUUGUUAAGGAAGAACGAGUGUGAGAAUGGAAAGUUCAUACUGUGACGGUACUUAACCAGAAAGGGACGGCUAACUACGUGCCAGCAGCCGCGGUAAUACGUAGGUGGCAAGCGUUGUCCGGAUUUAUUGGGCGUAAAGCGAGCGCAGGCGGUCAAUUAAGUCUGAUGUGAAAGCCCCCGGCUCAACCGGGGAGGGUCAUUGGAAACUGGUUGACUUGAGUGCAGAAGAGGAGAGUGGAAUUCCAUGUGUAGCGGUGAAAUGCGUAGAUAUUAAAAAGAAUACCGGUGGCGAAGGCGACUUACUGGGCUCAUUCUGACGCUGAGGAACGAAAGCGUGGGUAGCAAACAGG